GAAUGUGACACUGUAGCCAGCUCCUCCUGAUAAACCUGUGACUAUUAAAUCUCUCUGACAGUUUCUUUUUUAGGUGAUUUCCUUCCUUCCUGCCAGGCUCCGUGGUAGGGGUUACUGAACAGUCUCUCGUCCCCGCCUCCCAACCUGUGGAUACAGCUGUUGGGGCAGAAGAGACGGGACCAGCUGCUGGCCACAUUUCCUGCUUUAUUUUAAAAGGUAGUAUAAGAAAUGAGGAAAAAGAGGUAAUAUCAGGGCUUCUGCUGUCUUUUAUUUUAAAAAUGUUCAUGAUUAAGUAUUUUCCAGCAGUCCAAAGAUGUAAGUUAUCUUACACAUAAUGUUUUAUUUCGUUGUUAUUUGGUUAUUAUAAAAAUGGAAUCCUUGUUCUUGCACAACUGUAAAUGUUUUGUUGUUAGAUAAUAUAUUUGAGACCUAACUUGGUCGCUGGUUUCCAGUGCAUCACAGUAUAUUUUGUAAAAAACAUCUACUGCACUUGAGCAUGAAUGGGUAAUAGCCAAACUCUCAAUCUGGAGUGAUGAACCUGCUUAUACCAGUGCAGGAACAAGCCCCUCACAAUGCAGUUGCAUGAAUUUUUAGUGCCUACUGAAUUUUAUAUAUGUAUAUCUAUAUAGAGAGAUAUAGAUAUAGAUAUAUAUAAACCAAAAGUAGUUGGAAAAGUUAUUUGAAAUGACUAAUUUGUGCUAUCUUUAUGGAAUAUGUUAAAUGUAGCUUUUGAAACAGAAGCCUUGAAUUGAAAUUAAUACUUGAACAUUUUGUAUCUAUUUCUUUGUAUAUAAUUUUGUGCAGUACCAAUGACAAAACUAUGGUGUCAUAAUAAAACCAGGUUUGUUGAUCUUUCAGUUAUGGGCUCAAAGAAUUUAUUCAUCUCUAACAUGACAUUGGAAAAUAAUGGAUGAAAAUAGGAAAAAUGAUUGUUGUUAAUGCUGACUGUGGGUCUUAAAAGGUUCUGAAAGCAGUAAGUGUGUUUUACUAAAAAGAAUAUACCAUUCCCUUGGAAUGUUUUCUUCCUAAUGUCUGUGCUUUUUUCCUGCGUUAUUUGAAGUUUGGGGCUGAGGUAAUAACAGUAGUCAAAGUUUUCUGAAUUGGGAUGCUUUGAAAUUCCAAGUGUAGAUUUUUAGAUUGUCAUUUUAUAAAUGACAUUUUGGGGUAAUACUUGAUUAAGAACAUUUGAAAAUGGAGAUUAGUGUUGCCUAUUUUUAAAGCUGCUUUGUUAGAUUUCUAUGUUUUAACUGUCUUCUUAGUUUUCAUUUCAUUUUUUUUUUCCGUGAUUUUGGUAACUUAGUGAUUUUUGUCAUUUUUACAUCAACUUCAUGGUCUUGUUUUUACAUGGUAUCGCAUGUAUUUAGGACCUAUCUAACCAGGGGCUUUAAGUAAAUUUGGUCGUAUUUAUGUGUAAGCACAUUUUACUGUAAAAUGUUUUGAGUUUUUGAAUUUGCAAUAGAUCUGUUUAUUUCAGUGUGUAGUAAACAAUAUCUUAAAAAGUGUCCUAUUCACUACUUGUUAAUUAAAAAUGUUAUGAUUAAUAUGAA